rnacentral:lncRNA from 1 species
CAGAUACAUCAGCAAAGACAUGGUGAGAGCGUGAAGACUUUGAAACAAGAAAAUGAAUGAAAUUCCAUCACAAGUAUGUUAAAGGAGCUUUACCGCCUUAGGAAAAAUUCUGGAGGCCAGAGUCUGAAAUCAAGGUGUCAGCAGGGCCGUGCUCCCUCUGAAGACUCCAAGAACCGCCUUUUCCAGCUUCUGGUGGCCCCAGGCAUUCCUUGGCUUGUGGCUGUGUCCCUCCAAUCUCUGCUUCCAUCUUCUUCCCUGUGUGUCUCAGAUCUCCUUUUUCCUCUCUCUUAUAAGAACCCCUGUUGCUAGAUUUAGGGCCAACCUGGAUAAUCAGAAUAUCUCAUCUUGAGACCCUUAACUUCAUUACAUCUGCAAAGAUCCUUUUACAAAUAAGGUCACAUUUACAGAUUCCGAGUGGACCUAUCUUUUAGGGGGUCAACACUCAACACACUAUAGUAUAAAUAUUAGGAUUUCCCAUCAACACUAAGAUCACAGGCCACAUCACCCGCGUCUUCUCUGGGCCAGGCCUCUGCAGAGCACCCACAGACCUAAGUGCCCACAGCUGGGACAGGAGGCCAGACCACAGCUUAGAUCAACUCUCCGGAACUCAUGGGGAAAGCGGUCCUGGAGAUCAGGUGACCCAACCCCGUCACUAGCCUGGCAGGGGAAAGGGAGGCCCCCAGAGGAGGCCUUCCCGGGGUAGGCAGGCUCUUCCCUGAGAUCUCCCUCCUGCUGCCUCUCAGCAGGCCUUGAGAGGGCAUCUCGUGUGUGCCUGGGCAGUGCUCGCUGCUGGGACAAUUGUUACAUAAAGCCCCCCCUCUCCCUUGUGGUCUCUCCCGGCAGCCACAGGCGUCAUCCUGCUCCUGCUCCUGCUCUCGGGGCUGCCCAGACUUCGAUAAGGGGAUGCAGAGGGUUCUCCCAUUGCCCGACAGCCCAGAGACACACACACUAGCAGGAGGCAGUGGACCCUGAAGCUAAAGUCCUGGGUUCGAGCCCUGACUACCAGGCCUGUCAUUUCAGGCCACUUCAUUGAGCACGCCCCUUUGUGUAAACGAGUGCAUCUGUACUGACUUUUGACCAGCCUCCCAGUCCUGAGAUUUGUUGUUUCGCAAACGACACAGGCAGUCCUUACACUAGCUCACACGCACACACGCCUGCUUUGCCGUGCCCUGCCAAUUUCUCAAAAACAGAAGAUGCGGCUCCUCCCCAGGCUGGCACCUGGCUUUGAAGAUGUUGGAGAUGCGGCUGAUGGCCUGUGUUCCUGUAAAGAAGGGCAUCUCAAAGUCACCUGCCGCACCAUCUAAGCGCUCAGAUGGCCAGGAACCUGCUCGGUGGAACAGCCCAGUGCAGAGUUUCGCCGUGGAUUUUUCCAGAGACAACACGAUGUGAUAUCACAACAGAUUGAAUGCAGACGCAGUUACAAGAAUCCAGCUGUCUUGUAUUAAGCCUGACAUUAAAGAGAUUUACAAAAACGUAAAACAAUGUCGCUCUUCUCA